GGAGAGGUGGCCGAGCGGCUGAAGGCGCUCCCCUGCUAAGGGAGUAAAGGUUAACACCUUUCGAGGGUUCGAAUCCCUCCCUCUCCGCCA
rnacentral:tRNA from 1 species